AGAGUUUGAUCCUGGCUCAGAACGAACGCUGGCGGCAGGCCUAACACAUACAAGUCGAACGCCCCGCAAGGGGAGUGGCAGACGGGUGAGUAACGCGUGGGAACCUACCCAGUGGUACGGAACAACCCAGGGAAACUUGGGCUAAUACCGUAUACGCCCUUAGGGGGAAAGAUUUAUCGCCAUUGGACGGGCCCGCGUUGGAUUAGCUAGUUGGUGGGGUAAUGGCCUACCAAGGCAACGAUCCAUAGCUGGUCUGAGAGGAUGAUCAGCCACACUGGGACUGAGACACGGCCCAGACUCCUACGGGAGGCAGCAGUGGGGAAUCUUGGACAAUGGGCGCAAGCCUGAUCCAGCCAUGCCGCGUGAGUGAAGAAGGCCCUAGGGUUGUAAAGCUCUUUCGGCGGGGACGAUAAUGACGGUACCCGCAGAAGAAGCCCCGGCUAACUCCGUGCCAGCAGCCGCGGUA
rnacentral:rRNA from 1 species